rnacentral:tRNA from 1 species
UCCUCGUUAUUAUAGUGGUCAGUAUCCCCGCCUGUCACACGGGGAGACCGGGGUUCAAUUCCCCGACGGGGAG